GAGUGAAGAGGGAAGAGCUCAUCAUUGGAAUCUGGCAGUGUUUCACUGUCCGAGUUGUAGAUGAGGAGUAGUCCGUCUGGACUGCAUGGCGUCCAAGUACAAUAGGCCGUCAGUGGGACAUCAUAGAGGGUGACAAUCCCGUCCUUGACGCCAAUGUGCAAGUCUAUUACGAUGGCUAUCUCAGAGAGUCGAGCAGUUUGGGAUUUGCUGCUUAAACAUGGGAGGUAGAUUCCUUCUAAAGCUAAAUACAGGCGAGAGACCGAUAGAGAACAAGUACCGCAAGGGAAAGAUGAAAUAGCACUCUGUGAAGGGAGUCAAAAGGCGUGAAAUUGUUGCGAGAGAAGCGAUUCAAGUCAGCGUAGCUAGGCCCAUCAAGCGUCUUCGCUUUGGACUAGCUUUGCCAGCGGUCUUGUCCCUUAAAGAGACUUGACUUGUAAUAUGUCCAGCCUGGCGUGCACAGGCAGCCCCUUCUGGGGGCCAGUGACAUGGCUGGUGGAAUGGCUUGCAAUCGACCCGUCUUGAAACACGGACCAAGGAGUCUAACAUGUAUGCGAGUAUAAGGGUGGCAAACCCGUAUGCGCAAUGAAAGUGAUUUUCGGUGAUUGAGAAUGGCCUGAUGACCAGACAAGCAAUAUAUGUCCCUCGUACGGCCAUUGCCCAAGUUCCGUGGUAGAUCCCACGAACAUGGAGUUGGAGCAUACAUGCUAGGACCCGAAAGAUGGUGAACUAUGCCUGGACAAAGCGAAGCCAAAGGAAACUCUGGUGGAGGCUUGUAGCGAUUCUGACGUGCAAAUCGAUCGUCUGAUCUG
rnacentral:rRNA from 1 species